rnacentral:rRNA from 1 species
CCGGUAAACGGCGGCCGUAACUAUAACGGUCCUAAGGUAGCGAAAUUCCUUGUCGGGUAAGUUCCGACCUGCACGAAUGGCGUAAUGAUGGCCAGGCUGUCUCCACCCGAGACUCAGUGAAAUUGAACUCGCUGUGAAGAUGCAGUGUACCCGCGGCAAGACGGAAAGACCCCGUGAACCUUUACUAUAGCUUGACACUGAACAUUGAGCCUUGAUGUGUAGGAUAGGUGGGAGGCUUUGAAGUGUGGACGCCAGUCUGCAUGGAGCCGACCUUGAAAUACCACCCUUUAAUGUUUGAUGUUCUAACGUUGGCCCCUGAUCGGGGUUGCGGACAGUGUCUGGUGGGUAGUUUGACUGGGGCGGUCUCCUCCUAAAGAGUAACGGAGGAGCACGAAGGUUGGCUAAUCCUGGUCGGACAUCAGGAGGUUAGUGCAAUGGCAUAAGCCAGCUUGACUGCGAGCGUGACGGCGCGAGCAGGUGCGAAAGCAGGUCAUAGUGAUCCGGUGGUUCUGAAUGGAAGGGCCAUCGCUCAACGGAUAAAAGGUACUCCGGGGAUAACAGGCUGAUACCGCCCAAGAGUUCAUAUCGACGGCGGUGUUUGGCACCUCGAUGUCGGCUCAUCACAUCCUGGGGCUGAAGUAGGUCCCAAGGGUAUGGCUGUUCGCCAUUUAAAGUGGUACGCGAGCUGGGUUUAGAACGUCGUGAGACAGUUCGGUCCCUAUCUGCCGUGGGCGCUGGAGAACUGAGGGGGGCUGCUCCUAGUACGAGAGGACCGGAGUGGACGCAUCACUGGUGUUCGGGUUGUCAUGCCAAUGGCACUGCCCGGUAGCUAAAUGCGGAAGAGAUAAGUGCUGAAAGCAUCUAAGCACGAAACUUGCCCCGAGAUGAGUUCUCCCUGACCCUUUAAGGGUCCUGAAGGAACGUUGAAGACGACGACGUUGAUAGGCCGGGUGUGUAAGCGCAGCGAUGCGUUGAGCUAACCGGUACUAAUGAACCGUGAGGCUUAA